UACAGAGGUCUCAAGCGUUGUUCGGAUUCAUUGGGCGUAAAGGGUGCGUAGGCGGCGCGGUAAGUCGGAUGUGAAAUCUCGGGGCUUAACUCCGAAACUGCAUUCGAUACUGCCGUGCUUGAGGACUGGAGAGGGGACUGGAAUUUACGGUGUAGCGGUGAAAUGCGUAGAUAUCGUAAGGAAGACCAGUGGCGAAGGCGGGUCUCUGGACAGUUCCUGACGCUGAGGCACGAAGGCCAGGGGAGCGAACGGG
rnacentral:rRNA from 1 species